CUACGGAGGGUGCGAGCGUUAAUCGGAAUUACUGGGCGUAAAGCGUACGUAGGCGGUUUGCUAAGUCAGAUGUGAAAGCCCCGGGCUUAACCUGGGAACUGCAUUUGAUACUGGCAGACUAGAGUAUGAUAGAGGGGGGUAGAAUUCCUGGUGUAGCGGUGAAAUGCGUAGAUAUCAGGAGGAAUACCAGUGGCGAAGGCGGCCCCCUGGAUCAAUACUGACGCUGAGGUACGAAAGCGUGGGGAGCGAACAGGAUUAGAUACCCCAGUAGUCC
rnacentral:rRNA from 1 species